CUGCUUGGUGGCCCUUUGUUUGGGGUCAAAAUAUUGGAAUUCUCAUAAAAUUUGGAUUAGGUUUUACAGAAUUCAAAGGAGUCCAACCAUCGAGUCUUAGUUCAGUAACAACUGUUGUUGUAUGUUAAGUUAAAUUCUUCUUUUUUAUAUCUAAAAUAACAGAAAGGGAAUAACCAUUUGUGUCAGUGAAAUUAAUGUUGACCUACAUUUCUUGCCUUCAACAUGAUAUUCUUUCUCGCAAUAAUGUGAUAUACUAUGUGGCUGUCAUUGAACGUUCGAUUAAAUAAUACUACAAUUCUUUAAAAAGAAUAAAAUAAAAAAUCCAUCAAGACAAAGUCAAUGCCAAAAACUAGUACUAUUCUUUCAAAGCAAUGAUAAGCCAAUAAGCAUGCCAAGGAUAAUUCAUAAUUUAAAGUUAAUGUGUGU
rnacentral:lncRNA from 1 species